CGUUUCUUCAGUGUAUUAAUAUGUACAGUAAUUGUGUCAGAUCUAAGAUUAAGUUACAUUAAAUGUAAUUAUAAUUUUAUUUAUUUUUAUAUUUUGUAAUAUAUUGUAAUUACACUAAAAAAAAUUUUAUACUCAAUUUAAUUCGAGAUGUUAUUUAUAGUUUUAUUUUUAAGAGAUAUUAUUAUAUUUAAGUUUAAUAACCGUAUCGACACAAAGUUUACAGAAUUGAAAAAUAUAUUUAAUAAUUGAUAUGAAAAUUAUUAAGUAUCAAGAUCAGCUUUGAUCGAAAAAAAGCAUCUACUCUUAUUUCUUUUAAAAAUUAUUUUGAAUAAGUUUAAUAAAAGAAAGCUUAUCAUAGAGAUUAGUUUAGAGUUAUAAGUUUUAGUACAUUUAAUUUUCAUUAUAAAAGUCAUUUACAUCCGUGACUAUUUGACCCAGUCUGAUUUUUAAUGCGUUGUAUUUGGACAUCGCCAUUAGUAAAGAAAUCUUUAAAUUAAUUUUAUUUAAAAUUGAAAACUCCAAAGAACCAACUGUAUAGAAGUAUUAAUUAAUCAUAAAUAAUUAAAAUUUUGUUUACAAAGACUUAUAAAAAUAGUUGAUUAAUUAUUGAAUAAUAUAAUUUGAAAAUCUUAUUCUACUUCUUCUCUUAAAUUCUCUAUUUAUAUCAAUAAAAAUGUGCAUAAAAUAAUUAUAAUUUUAAUUAAUUUUAUUUUCUAAUCAUAUUAUAUUAAUCGCUAUUUUUUUGUUUAACUUCUGUAAUGUUUUCUUGUUCACGAGUUUUGAAGAAUUUCGGAAUUAAAACAAGUUUCUCAUAAUUUAUCCAUUUAAUUAUAUUAUAUUCUCUUUCCUUCAAAAAUAUUGCAAACGUUUACGCGUCAACUUUUAACCAUGUGCCAUAAUCAUGGUAAACUUUUAGAUGUCCCGAUUCUUCAUGCUUCAUGGUGGUCCAUUUCCCAUCGUUCAUCGUCUGUUGCCUGCUUGGAAAAUAUCGCAGCUUCGUAUAAAAUAUCUCGAUCGGUCUGGCGCAUGACCGGUCGAUGUCUCGGGUCAUCCAAUACUCUACGGCGAACUUUUUUGUACCCCGGGAUGCCUAUGGCUUGCUCCGUCGAGAUCCGUCCAUCGUUCGUCUCGUCCAUGAGCAGAGGAGGCUUUAUGGGUUCUCGGGGAAAGGGUCUACAAUGUUGGCUUACGAUGACUCGAUUGUGAAUCGCUCUCUCUCUCUCGAUACGAGUCACCAUCGAUCCCGUUCGUCACCGUAAGUGACAUUCGUCUCGCUCUCGAGAAUUCCCUUUGGCAUCAAUGAAGAAACAGUCAUCGCGACCGCGCGUAACACGCGCCGGUAACACAACAGCCCCCGGCGUGCACGUAUAAUCGCGACAAACACGUCCGGCAGUUAGGGCACUUAGGGCCGGCUCGGCUCGCGAAUACAACGCGGGGCAGACGUAGACAGCGGUCCGCGACGAAUCGCACAAUGCCUGACAUCUCCAUCGUCGAGGCGCGACGGAAACGAGAAAUGGGGCCCCGCGACACGUAGUCACGCCCAUCGCGACCCAUUGUCCGUGGGUCACGUCGCUCCGCCGAGAUUUAUCGUUCCCGGGGUCCUCUCUCUUGUCAUUAUCCACGCUCGAUUCGCGACGAUUAUCGAGCUCGUCGCACCGACCCACGUCCGUCCCUCCCACGGAAUUUGUUUUUGCCACAGUUUCAUCCUGUCAUCCGAAUGAAUGUCCGUCGGUUGCAAAUGCACCCGUCAUCAUGUCAACCUAUAAUUAUGGACGUUGCAAAUUUGAGAUAUGGAAUCCUAGGGAGCUCUGCUUUUAGAUAUUAUAAACAGGGGAAAUGAAAAUAAACGCUCUUCAUUAUGUAUAUGUAUAUACUUGUUGCUGUAUUUUGGAGUGUUAAUUGUGCAUAUAAUCAAGUUUGUUUUCAUAGAGGAAAGUGUUAAUUGGUCAGAAUUUAUGGCAGGAUUUCCGCACUCAGAGAAAAAGUCACACUAGCAACUAGAAAUUUGAGAACAAAUAGCGCCUCAACUGUGUGUAUUACAGAGUUGUAGUAAGAACAAUAACUAAGUUAUAUUAGCUAAGAAAAUAACAAUAACCAUUUGUUGGAUAUAUAUCUAUAACUAUAUGAAAAUAAUAACACAAAUGUAGGCGACAGGCGUUUCUUCUUGGCACUUAAGUUGUAACACUGCUCCACUGUUCUUAUAAUUAUUCCCAUCGUAUAUUUAAUUUAUCUUACUUACACAAAAUGACUUCAACGAAAAAUAUUAUCAAUGCAAAAAGUUGUAAUAGAUGAUUAAUUAGUCAUUAUCGUAUUAUGCUUCAUUAAAAAAACAAUAGGUGUCUAAAUUAGAAAAAUGUAAUUGCUAUAUUUUAUCGAAAUGUAAUAUAAUUCAAUUACUGUUUCACUACCAAUUAAUGCAUAUAUAAACUGUUGUACUGACUAUAUUUUUUUUAAUAUUUAGUGACCACUUUUUAUUGUGUAAAACUAGUGACAAGUAUUUAAAUUUCAGAGUUAUCAAAUUACAGUUGCCAGAAUUACUUUAUUUCUUCUCGGUGCAAAGCAUUCAAAAUUGAAAGUAAACUGUAUGUGAAACGUUGAAGUCUAAUUUUAUCUGCAUUCUGCAUUCUAUUAACAUUUUCGUAAUACAAAAAAGUUAAUAAAUGUUUAAGUAUUUUUUUUUCUUGGAAAAUACAGUCUAAUUCAUGUAUAUUAAUAAUCCAAUAAUGUUAUGGGCUAUAUAAAAUAAUUCUUUAUAUCGAUAUGAUUCCUUAUAUAUAUUUCAGUAUAUAAAUAAACACACUCUUGAUAAUUAAAUAACGUUAUAUGUUAUAAAAUAUUACAUGCUUUAUAAUGUAUUUCCAA
rnacentral:lncRNA from 1 species